rnacentral:rRNA from 1 species
CCUACGGGAGGCAGCAGUGGGGAAUAUUGCACAAUGGGCGGAAGCCUGAUGCAGCGACGCCGCGUGAGGGAUGACGGCCUUCGGGUUGUAAACCUCUUUCAGCAGGGACGAAGCGUAAGUGACGGUACCUGCAGAAGAAGCACCGGCUAACUACGUGCCAGCAGCCGCGGUAAUACGUAGGGUGCGAGCGUUGUCCGGAAUUACUGGGCGUAAAGAGCUCGUAGGUGGUCUGUCGCGUCAUUUGUGAAAGCCCGGGGCUUAACUCCGGGUUGGCAGGUGAUACGGGCAUGACUGGAGUACUGUAGGGGAGACUGGAAUUCCUGGUGUAGCGGUGAAAUGCGCAGAUAUCAGGAGGAACACCGGUGGCGAAGGCGGGUCUCUGGGCAGUAACUGACGCUGAGGAGCGAAAGCAUGGGUAGCGAACAGGAUUAGAUACCCUGGUAGUCCAUGCCGUAAACGGUGGGCGCUAGGUGUGGGUUUCCUUCCACGGGAUCCGUGCCGUAGCUAACGCAUUAAGCGCCCCGCCUGGGGAGUACGGCCGCAAGGCUAAAACUCAAAGAAAUUGACGGGGGCCCGCACAAGCGGCGGAGCAUGUGGAUUAAUUCGAUGCAACGCGAAGAACCUUACCUGGGCUUGACAUAUAGAGGAUCGCUACAGAGAUGUGGUUUCCCUUGUGGCUUCUAUACAGGUGGUGCAUGGUUGUCGUCAGCUCGUGUCGUGAGAUGUUGGGUUAAGUCCCGCAACGAGCGCAACCC